CGUGAGUGAAGAAGGCUUUCGGGUCGUAAAGCUCUGUCAAGUGGGAAAAAAAUCUGAUGAUUAAUAGUUGUCAGAUCUGAUGGUACCGCUGGAGGAAGCACCGGCUAACUCCGUGCCAGCAGCCGCGGUAAUACGGAGGGUGCAAGCGUUGUUCGGAAUUACUGGGCGUAAAGGGCGUGCAGGCGGGUUGGUAAGUCAGAUGUGAAAGCCCUGGGCUCAACCCAGGAAGUGCAUUUGAAACUGCCAUCCUAGAGUAUGGGAGAGGAGAGUGGAAUUCCCAAUGUAGAGGUGAAAUUCGUAGAUAUUGGGAGGAACACCCGUGGCGAAGGCGACUCUCUGGACCAAUACUGACGCUGAGACGCGAAAGCGUGGGGAGCAAACAGGAUUAGAUACCCUGGUAGUCCACGCUGUAAACGAUGAGAACUAGGUGUAGCGGGUAUUGACCCCUGCUGUGCCGAAGUUAACGCAUUAA
rnacentral:rRNA from 1 species